UGAGGAAUAUUGGACAAUGGGCGCAAGCCUGAUCCAGCCAUGCCUCGUGCAGGAAGAAGCAUCUAUGGUGUGUAAACUGCUUUUGUACGGGAAGAAACACUCCUACGUGUAGGAGCUUGACGGUACCGUAAGAAUAAGGCUCGGCUAACUCCGUGCCAGCAGCCGCGGUAAUACGGAGGCUCCAAGCGUUAUCCGGAAUCAUUGGGUUUAAAGGGUCCGUAGGCGGUUUAAUAAGUCAGUGGUGCAAGCCCAUCGCUCAACGAUGGAACGGCCAUUGAUACUGUUAGACUUGAAUUACAAGGAAGGAACGAGAAUAUGUAGGGUAGCGGUGAAAGGCUUAGAUAUUACAUGGAAGAAAAACUGCGAAGGCAGGAUACGACUUGUGGAUUGACGCUGAUGUAAGAAAGCGUGGGGAGCGAACA
rnacentral:rRNA from 1 species